rnacentral:rRNA from 1 species
AUUGAACGCUGGCGGCAUGCCUUACACAUGCAAGUCGAACGGCAGCGCGGGGCAACCUGGCGGCGAGUGGCGAACGGGUGAGUAAUAUAUCGGAACGUACCCUGGAGUGGGGGAUAACGUAGCGAAAGUUACGCUAAUACCGCAUACGAUCUAAGGAUGAAAGUGGGGGAUCGCAAGACCUCAUGCUCCUGGAGCGGCCGAUAUCUGAUUAGCUAGUUGGUGGGGUAAAGGCCUACCAAGGCAUCGAUCAGUAGCUGGUCUGAGAGGACGACCAGCCACACUGGAACUGAGACACGGUCCAGACUCCUACGGGAGGCAGCAGUGGGGAAUUUUGGACAAUGGGCGAAAGCCUGAUCCAGCCAUGCCGCGUGUGUGAAGAAGGUCUUCGGAUUGUAAAGCACUUUAAGUUGGGAGGAAGGGUAGUAACCUAAUACGUUGCUACUUUGACGUUACCGACAGAAUAAGCACCGGCUAACUUCGUGCCAGCAGCCGCGG